rnacentral:snRNA from 1 species
UGUAAAUGGUGACCAAAA